ACACAUGCAGUCGUANNAUGGAUAGCCCGCUUGCUGGUGGAUUAGUGGCGAACGGGUGAGUAACACGUGAGCAACCUGCCCCUGACUUCGGGAUAACCGCGGGAAACCGUGGCUAAUACCGGAUAUGACGCGCUAUCGCAUGGUGGUGUGUGGAAAGAUUUAUCGGUUGGGGAUGGGCUCGCGGCCUAUCAGCUUGUUGGUGGGGUGAUGGCCUACCAAGGCGACGACGGGUAGCCGGCCUGAGAGGGUGACCGGCCACACUGGGACUGAGACACGGCCCAGACUCCUACGGGAGGCAGCAGUGGGGAAUAUUGCACAAUGGGCGCAAGCCUGAUGCAGCGACGCCGCGUGAGGGAUGACGGCCUUCGGGUUGUAAACCUCUUUCAGUAGGGAAGAAGGCCUUCGGGUUGACGGUACCUGCAGAAGAAGCGCCGGCUAACUACGUGCCAGCAGCCGCGGUAAUACGUAGGGCGCAAGCGUUGUCCGGAAUUAUUGGGCGUAAAGAGCUCGUAGGCGGUUUGUCGCGUCUGCUGUGAAAACGCGAGGCUUAACCUCGCGCCUGCAGUGGGUACGGGCAGACUAGAGUGCGGUAGGGGAGACUGGAAUUCCUGGUGUAGCGGUGGAAUGCGCAGAUAUCAGGAGGAACACCGGUGGCGAAGGCGGGUCUCUGGGCCGUUACUGACGCUGAGGAGCGAAAGCAUGGGGAGCGAACAGGAUUAGAUACCCUGGUAGUCCAUGCCGUAAACGUUGGGCACU
rnacentral:rRNA from 1 species